rnacentral:rRNA from 1 species
UACGAAGGGGGCUAGCGUUGUUCGGAUUUACUGGGCGUAAAGCGCACGUAGGCGGAUCGUUAAGUCGAGGGUGAAAUCCUGGAGCUCAACUCCAGAACUGCCUUCGAUACUGGCGAUCUAGAGUCCGGAAGAGGUGAGUGGAACUCCUAGUGUAGAGGUGGAAUUCGUAGAUAUUAGGAAGAACACCAGUGGCGAAGGCGGCUCACUGGUCCGGUACUGACGCUGAGGCGCGAAAGCGUGGGGAGCAAACAGG